rnacentral:rRNA from 1 species
GGGUUAGUCCGCAACGAGCGCAACCCUAUGUUAGUUGCCAGCAUUCAGUUGGGCACUCUAAGGUGACUGCCGGCUAAAAGUCGGAGGAAGGUGGGGAUGACGUCAAAUCAUCAUGCCCCUUAUGACCUGGGCUACACACGUGCUACAAUGGGCGGUACAAAGGGUCGCGAACCCGCGAGGGGGAGCCAAUCCCAAAAAGCCGCUCUCAGUUCGGAUUGCAGGCUGCAACUCGCCUGCAUGAAGCCGGAAUCGCUAGUAAUCGCGGAUCAGCAUGCCGCGGUGAAUACGUUCCCGGGCCUU